UCCAAUCACCUUUUUUGAUAGACAUCUUUAUUUCAAUUAUUAUAAUUUUUAUUUCUAGAGAAAGCUUUUUUGUUUACUAUGUCAUUUGUUACAGUUGUCAUCUGCAGAUAUUUUUCAGGCUCCCUUUUAUUUUGUUAAAAUUAAAAGGCAUGGUUGUUUUAUAUGUCUUGUGAUUUAACAUCUGAAGUCUGCAUCAGUCUGUUUCUGCUGCUUCUCAUUCCGUUGCUGUUUCCUUGUGUGUCUGGUUAUUUUUGACUGUGUGCUAAUCAUUUAGUCCUGGGAUAAAUGUGUCCUGCUCCAGAAUAUUUUGCAUUUUUCUCAAAGGGUCUGGGACCUCCCAGUGAUUGAUUAGCUCAAUCUAAGUUAACAGUUUAAAACAAAAUUUGUACACAUAAUAGGAGAGUUACAACUAUGCUACUUCUCAGGGACAGAAUUAUUUUUCAUUCUUCCUUUUUUUUUUUAAUUCUGUCACAUUGCUCAUCUACAAAGACAGUUUUCUUCAUAAUCCCUUAAGUUGGAGAAAGGGAACAAAUUUAAUAUCGUUUCUCCUUUAUUCCUUCAUAAGACCGCAGGCAACACCUUUUCCAUUAUUCUGUGGAGUCAAUUGACCAAAGUUCAAAUGUACAGUAUAAGCAAAUGCCCUCAGGCAAAGAGCAGUUAUGUUGAUCUGAUGUUCAGCUUGCCUCUCUGUGUUCAGAUUCCCAUUUUCCAAAAAUAAUUACCCUAGCAGUUUACCACUAUCUUAUCAACCUUUCAAUUUUUUAAAGGUGAUUUUAAACAGAAAUAUUUUAUCCAGCAUUUUUCAUUGUUUUCAGUGGAAAGUUGAUCUAAAUAGCUUAGUUUCUCAUUUACAAUCUACCUCACUUUCACUUAAAUAUGCAUUUGGUUAAUCAAGUUUGUGCUAUUUAUAUAAGACUGGUAGGAAAAGACUUCAUAAGAAUAUGUAUUGAAAUCCUACAAUGAACAGCUUGCUCAUUAGGGCUACAUAUAAGGCAUAGAGAUAUAAUCAAGAUAUAGUCUUUGCUUUAUAGCAUCUCUGCCAAAAAAUAGGGUGAGAUGAAAUAAGAAACAUAAAAGAGUUUUUCUGAGAUUUAAAGGAGGGAGAGCUCACAUCUGUGAAAGAUUUGAAUUGGGCCUUGAAGGAUGGUUAUAAUUUCAAUAUGUGGAAAUUUGUGGGCAGGGAAUUCCAGGGAAUUAAAAAAUAUGAACGAUGACAUGAAACUGAGAAUCGUCAAGGUCUGUGUGCUAAAAAGAGAAAUGAGAUUUUGGUUUUCUUGUUUGUUUGUUUGUUUUGUUUUGUUGUUUUUAUUUUUGUUGGAAAAAAAGGAUUAAGAACCAUACCAAGGGCUGGGGAUUUGCUACAGGGGCACAUCUCUAAGAAGGUGUGUCAGUGUUUUCCAGAUACCUUCACCCUAGAAUAACAGAUCUUUUAAUAAACACAUACUGAACAGAAGUAUGAUCCAAGUGUUAUGUGUCUUAAAAGGACAAGGUCUAUCACGGAAAAAGGCAAGAGAAGAAGUUCAUUCUUCUAGGAUCAUAGCUUCAUCCCAUUUAGUCCAAGAGAAAAAAAAAAUGCCUCGAAAGACAUCUUUAUUAUUUGCUUUACCUGUUUAAAGAAGUCCCAAAGAAACAAGAACUGUCAGUUUGAUUUAUCCUCUGAGGACUGGACUCACACCCCUUGCAUGUUUCAGGUACACUUAUCUAUUUUAGAGUCACUGAAGUAUUUCAGUCAGUUCCAGCACUUCAAGUACAAUUUGCCACCUAGGUACCUGCUGUGCUUUGUGAUUUUAGAGCUUCUGCUUGAUAUGGACUGGAACCUGACUCUAGCCAUUGAAUGUGACAAAUACAUAUUCCUGGCUAAAUAUACAUAUAUAUAUGAUAGACUGCCUCAUGAGGAAAAAAAGCUUUCUAAUAUAGAGCACAAAUUCAUUUAUUUAUUCUACAAAGAAUUAACAACUCCUAACAGGUAUCACACAACGUGUUUUUAAACCCUAGAGAUAUCAGAUGAGUAAUACAUGAUUGCUGCACUUAAGGUGCUUAUAGUCUGAUAGAGGAGACAGAAAUUGUAUGUAGGUUUAUUACAAUAAAACAUAACUAAAAUGGUAAAAAUAUUUAAAAACCAUGGUGGGGAACCAUAGGUCUAGCUAUAGAUAAUCCUUGGUCAGGGAAAUGCUUCUUCCAAGUAAUGCUCAGCCUAUAUAUCUCUCCACUGUUCAUUCUACAAAAUCACUGAGAAUCCUUGAUGUUUAAGCCACUAUGCUAGGUGUUAUGAAACAUACAAAAAUGAAUCAGAAUCAGAUCUUUCCCUUGAGGAUGUAGAAACAAAUAGAAAGUAUGCCCAUAAAUCGAGUAAUUGUAGUGAAAAAAUGGACAUGGAUAGUUGCUCAAAAAUAGCAUGAAUAGAGGCAUGAGUUAAUUUUAUAGUAACUCAGAAAAGAGAGAUUGCUUCCAACUGGAAAAGAUUCUAAAUAUAUCUGUCAAGGAAGUGAGAGUUGGGCAUGUUUUUGAAGGAUGAAUAGGAUUUUGAGGCAAAAUGGGGUGAAAAGGACAUUUUCUGUCGAAAUAAGGGAGUAACCAAUGAUAAAAUAUAGGAAAUUAAUUCCUGUACUGAUUAUACAGAUAUGUGUUGAUCUUUCGCCUUGCCCCAUGCACUGCAUGCUAGUCAUUGUUCUUGAAAAUGAUUCCGGGAGGUUCCCUGAGGCCUAGGGUGGACGUGCCUUAGACCAGACUAUUUUGUGUUUCUUCUAUGAGUUUCCAGGAUGCACUACCAGUGGAAGAAUUGCCUCAAAAUAAGUUGAGGAACAGCACUGUGGAACAGCAGCACUCAGUUUCAUUAGAAAGUCCAUGUAGAACCAGCUCAUGAAAGAUCUUGAACAGGAUUGUGAAAAGAGAUAAUUUCAUUCUGUAAGCACUCUGGAGCCCUUUGUAACCAAUACUAACUGUCCUUAUAUUAAGACAGAUUCAGAGUCUUCACAGAUAGGCUUAAGGAAUUAAGAUAUAUUUUUUUCUGCUUUAAAUUUUUUAAAUGUUUAUUUAUUUAUUUAUUUUGGGGGUGGGCGGGUAGUGGUAGAGACAGAGGGAGAGAGAGAAUCCCAAGUAGGUUCCACUCUCAGCAUGGAGCCGGGCACAGGGCUUGACCCCAGGACCAUGAGAUCAUUACCUGAGCUGAAAUCAAGAGCUGAAUACUUAACCAACUGAGCCACGCAGGUGCCCCUAUUAUUUUUCUACUUUUAACACAAAGAAGAUAGGACUUAUUAAAUUAUCUGAGAGACACGUUCUAAAACUCUGGUGCAAUAGAUGAGAGCCAUAAGGCCUGUGCUUUUACUGACAAAGAAAAUGGCAAAAUGGCUAAGUUGUCAUCGGUGGGGCCCAAUGCAUUUAUUUAGUGAAUCACAGGACAUCUUCUCACUCAGAAAGCACUUUAAAACCUCAUAUGUCUUGAACUUUUAAUAGAUGAUAAUCUCUAAAGAAGUCCUAGUGUAAAGAAAGCAAAUAGGGCAAUUCAUCUAAGGAAAACUACGUAUAUCCUUCCCAAGAACAUGGGUGUAUCAGCACAGCAGUGAGCACCAGUAGAAAACCUGGACUUAUUUUCCUGUGACUCCAGAAUAUAUGUUGGUGUCAUACCUACUAAAAUAAACACACCGUGGAAAGUUUGUUUCUGAUUUAAGAAAUUUCUCCUGUCUCCACAUCCAUCAAAAUUUGGACCAAGUGGACCUUACUCUCAUCAGUCAGCUCUUUCUGUUAUGUUUAUCACACAAUGCUCACAAAUCCUAGUUAACAUAAACCUAGUCUGACAUAAAUUCAGAAGCAUUAUGAACAUCUUAGGCCAUAUUUCUCCCCUAAAACUGUAUGGUUUCGAAGCCAGUAUGUUCAAUAUGGCGCCUACAUGUUCGUUGCAUAGGUAACCUUUAAAAUUUUUUUUUCUCUAUACACUGUACUGAUAACUUUUAUUUAGAGGCAAACAUUGGCAUAUUUCACUUUUAAUGACAGAAAACUUUUCCAAGGCACUUAAUAAACUAUUAACUUUUUAAAACCACCCAUUCAGCCAUAACCUUGAAAGCAAAAAAAGAGCAUUAUAAAAGGCCUCAUUAAAAUAAUUUGUUUACUUUUUUUAAUAUUGUUUACUUCCAAUGCAAAUAAUGAACACAAGCAUUAAUUAAAUAAUGCAAUACAUCUAAUGCUCAUUCACUGUAGUAUGGCUUUAAUAACAAAAUGGACUUAUUUAUUGGAGUAAAAUGGUGUGAUUUAGCAAAAAGAUGAAAAUAGUUCCAAUCAGAAAGCUAUUCAUGAAUUAUUGAGUAUUCUGUGCAAAAUGAAUAUGGAAUUAUUUUAUCUUUGUGAAGUGAGCGUUGAGCCCUUAUUCAGUCCCCUGCUCAAAAAGAUCAUAAACAUUGGAGGGACAAACAAUAGAUCUACCAAACUUGGCCUAACGAAUGCAUUUUAAGUUUCUGUUUAAUAUUUUAAUUCUCAGAAUUACAGUGCUCUGGCAAAGAUAGCAUGGUUAUUAUUGGGGCAAUUUGUAGUACAGCCACAGACUGCACUAUCAAAUGGCCUCAUCGUACCUUUAAAAAUUAGAACAAAAAUAAUAGUCUGAAAUCUGGAGGAUGAUGGGUGGAGAUGGAGAGAAAGAAAGAAAAAGAAAGAAAUUGAAUUCUAGUGUUUUAUUAGCAUAAACAUUAUAAGGAAAAAAAUGAAAUCAAGUGAUCGAUAUUACUAUAAAUGAAGCCAUGUUCUCUGGUUAUAAUUCUCUCAAGAUUUAGCCAUUAACCACAAUAAAUUCUGUAUCUUACAUAAUUUUUAAUAACCACAAAAAUCUAUGAAAUUGAUAGGAUGCUUUAUAAAUGGAUAAUAGCUUACUAUCCAAUAAACCUCACCUUAGGCUCUCUCAGAAAACUAUUUUAAUUAUGAAGUUUGACUCUCUGUGGUUUAUCAUUUUGGUCAAUGCAAUACAUCUGAUUUAGAGUUUGCAUUCCUCCAACAUAAAAUGGACUUGUAGUCCACAGUGCACUUUGAAAUAAACUGAAUAUAUGUAUUUAGUCUUUCUUAACAGUUCACUACUGAGUUGAAAUGCUCUGGGAAGCAGUAUACUAUAUCAGGUAGAAUAAGUCAGACCACCUGGACUGGGAAUCCCAGGUUCACAUUUUAUUUGUUACUAUAAUCCUUGGAUAUUUCAACUGUAGUAUGAGGUUAACAAGAGUCCUUAUCUCAUACAGUUAUUGCGAGAUUAUGUGAGAAAAGUGAUACAACUUGCUGGGCACAUAGCAAUGAUAAAUAUUAAUUAUAUUUAUUAUUAUUGUUGUUAUUAUUACUAUGUGGAGGAAUCGAGUAUAGCAGUUAAGAGAAGAGUCUCCAGAACCUGAUAGAAUAGGAUUCAGAUGCCCUAAUUGUCACUUAAAGGCAGUGUAUUUACAAUCCUCAUCUUAAUUUUUCUUAAUAUCAAGACUUCAGUUAGGGAAACACUUCCUGCUAUCCAAAUCCAAUCUAAAAUCUCUGCAGAACCUCAUUUCUUACUCCUACCAAACAGGAAACAGUCUGAAACAGGUAUUCUGGUCAGCUUUCUGCUACAUGGUGCCUCCCUCAUUUUCUGUUUUUGCCAACUCUUAGUGGCAGAUGAGGGAAAGGUAGAGAGAAUAUGAGAAGGUCCCCAUGCUUCUUAAAGCCGUAAGCCCAGAAGUGCCUCACAUCAGUCUUGCUCACAUCCCAGUGAUGAGAGUGGGUAAUGUGGCCACAUGUUGGUGCAAAGGGGGCUGGAAAUAAAACGGUGUUUCUGGCUGGUAAGCUGCUUCUCUGUGACAACUCAAGACUCCAGCACACAUUCUGGUGUAGCACUAUCCCUCUCUGCCACAAGGAUCAAUGAUCUUAGCCCUUAUUCUAUAGGGAAGAAGGUCCAAAUUAAGUGUCCAACCUUUAUUUGGGAGGCGUGAAUCCAGGGCAUAGGCGGUGUGGCAAAAAAGGAAGCGAGGCAGGAAAUGACGGGGAAGAGUAGAGGAGCUGUGUCACCCAAUGGCUGCUACUCUCCCGUGAACCUCAAACAGACUCAAGAGAAUCACUGGGCAGCUGUACCACUUGACUUAGAAAGAAGCUGCUGUUAGGUAGGCUCUCUGGAGAAAGCACGACACAGUCCGUGGGAGGAAAGAUGGGAGCUAGGAGAAGGAAUUUAUCUGCUAUGUUUCAUUCCAUUUCCUGCUUCCCCAAGUUCACCACCCAGAGUCUUCAAUAUCUGCAUCAUAUGAACCCUGGCUGUACCCUUGGAUGGCUUCUCAGAAUGCCAGGUCCUAUUCUGUAUAAAGUGGCAUUUUAUCUAAAUUUGGAAGUGGAUGAGGAGCCAAAAGCCUGUCGCACUCUGGAAGCCAGGAGGGAGGGCCUCACAUUCCAAGAUGACUGGCCAUCCUCAGGAAGUGGGACCAAAUGGGUUCAAACGUGGCUAGUCAUACGUAGAGACAGCUAAGGUAGACUGACUGGAUGAGGGUCUGGAGAAGGACUCUGAGGGAGCAUCUGAGGCACCACAAAUGUGCCCCAGCUAGUCACCUUGCAGAAGCAAAUAGUUUUUUAUAUAAUGUAAAUGUAACACAGUAUCAGCAUACAACAAAGGUAGACUAAACAGAGACUAUUGUAUUUACUCUGGCAAGAUUUGGAUUUAGAACUAAAUGCAAUAUCUGUUCAUUUCUUGAAAAAGAGAGAAUACUCUCUCCUCAAAAAACAAACAAAACAAACACAUAGCAUUCUAGCGCCCAAAGUCACCAACAAAGGUUGCUUUUCUGAAAAUCUGGUUUGAUUUGGUCUUGUAUGUACUGAGAAAUUUCACUGUAGAAACAAUUUCAGUUAUUAUUAACAUCAUUUAUAUUCAUAUACAUAAAACUCACAUCUUACAAUCAAAGUAUUGUCUUCUAUGUUGACAGCAGCCAUACUUUAGACAUUAAUAAGAUCAGGUAUCCAUUCAGCACUCUUUCCUAAAUCAUUUUGUCCAAAUGAGAAUUUAUAAGUGAGUUUUAUCCUCCUCCAUGAAUGAUUUUCCAGAAUCAAAACCAGUUAUGUGAUAAAACUUAAUUCCUCUAAACAGAUUUUGUGUUUCAUGUUUCAAACUGAUAAGGACAAUCUGAGUCUAUAUUCUAGAAUAGCAAUUAAUCCAAAAUAAAAAAUGGUAGCUAAUAACCUAUUUCAUAAAAUCUGAGCUUUGCCUUUUUUUUUUGUAACCUCAUCUAGUAAUAAGGAUGGGAUAAUCAGAGGUCUAGUGAUUUGUUGCUUACACACAUGCCCAAUCUUCCUCACGGAAAGUGCCAUCAAGCAAAAGAGCAUCUGGCCUUUGAUAUUUUCUUAAUGUGCAUUAAAAGGCCCCAAAUUUCCCAUAAAAAGUGGAAAAUUUAAUCCCAAAGGUUUAAUCUAAGAGAGAAAGACAGGGAGAAUAACCUGUCAGCUCUUACUAGGGAAUAGUAAAGUUGGGCUAAAAGAAUAAUAAAAAUCAGAAGUAGACGAGACCCAGGAUCAAUUUUUAAUGAUUUCACAUUGCCCCAACAAAGAGGCUUUUAUAUUUUAUUGUCCAGAAGCAGUAACUUUUAAAUAAUUCUCUUUAAAUAUUUUAAAAUCAGUCAUUUAUAUUUUAAGUUUACCCCAGAAGAGAUAUGAUAAGUACACUCUUAAAUUUAAAUCUAAAUUUAGUUAAUUUUUAAAAAGUAUAUUUUUAUAAUGAUGUACAAUAUGAUCCAUUGGCAUCAUGUAGUUCAUUAACAGACUUUUUCUUGUGUUUUAUAGCUGUAGAAUCAGAAAUAUGUUUUCUAUUAAAGGAUUCUUUAAUUUCAGCCUUCUUGAAUAAAAUCUUGAUUGUCUUCCAAGUAAAUUCGACAACUUUUCUGAAAAACUUAUUCUGAUGUUUAACAAUGUUUAAAUACUGAAAAUGUUUCCUGCUAAUAAAGCUUAGGCCCUAGCAUUGUUCUUCAAGCCUAGGUCUUUCUGCUUUAGCUUUGUAAAAAUGGACUACUGGGCACGAUCAUUUUUAUAUAGUCCUCUAUCAACCAAUCUUAGUUUUGUCUUCUUGAAGCUGAUAUAUUUAUUUACUUAAAUUUUACUCGAGUCACUUUAACUUCUGAAUUGACCCCUAAUUCUAUCAUUUGCUUUGAUUGUGCCAUAAUGUCUUUUUCUAUUAAAGACAUGAUAUGAAUGGGAAUACUGUGCUUUGAUUUUGUAAACUAUUAGCUUAUACUUUGUAAACAACCUCAUUUUGUAAUGCAGUAUCCUGAGAUAUAUUAUUUAUUUUUAUUUAUUAAUGCUUUGAAAGGAAUCUGGAAAAUGUUCACCAUAAUUCUCAAUUGGAUAACAAAGAAUGGUAACAAAGUAUGUUUUAGAAUAGGAGAAAUAAUGGGAGUGACAGACUGGGCUUACAGAGCUGAAGGGGGACCUCAUGGAGAUUAUUUUGGAGUUACAUCAUCAAAAUGAGCAGGAGUGGAACAAAUGGCAGACAAGGAGAGUGGAUUGAAGGGAGAGAAAUGUGUUCCAGAUGAAAGGGUGCAAUACAAUGUAUAGAGUUGUGAAAGCAGGGUGCAUAUUGGAACUGCCAUGGAUUUAGCAUAGCUGGUUAUAGAAGAAUGGGGGAAUGCAUGGAACUCAGAAGGAUGGUUGGGAAAUGAUGAAAAGGAGCCUGUAUAUCCUACUGAGGGAUUUGUACAUUAUCCUACAGAUAAUACGUUUCCCAGAAAAAAAACCCAUGGUGAAAUUUGUGUUUUAGAAAAGAAAAAAAAUUAGUCAAAAUGUAGAAAAUGAAAUGAAAUGGUUUUGUCUGGUCCCAGAGGAAACACUGAGAGAAUUCGCAUGAAAGAAAAUACGAGCUCAAAUGAGGCUGUGGUCAUGAGAUGGCAGAAGAGGGAGCUAGUUCUGGAAUUCAGGCUCUCUACUGUUUGGUUGUAAGUGGUAAAGGAAAGGGGAGAAUUAAGAAAGUAGGGAAGGUGUAGUGGAUAAAAGGAUGAUUAACCAAGACAAGCAGUAGAGAAAAGAGAGCAAAUCUGAGAAGACAAUGAUUUCACUGUCUGUGCUACAUUCUAGUGGUAAGUCAGUUAGAAAAUGCAGUUCUGGUACAUAAGAGGGAGCUGGAGGCCAGAGGAAAAACUGAGGAGUCAACAUGUCAUAAGUGGUGGAUCAGACCAGAGGCAAGACCAAAACCCACUGGAAGCAUGUGAAGUAUAGGCAAUAAUGAAGGCCUAGAACAGUAAACCAGAUAUUAGUGACACUUAAGAGGUGGGAAGAGGAAGAGAAGUCAGUGAAAGAAACAGAAGGAAGAAUAUAAAACGUAAAAUAAAGAUUUAGAGUGAAAAUGUCUCCAUAGCCAAGGGACAGAGGUUUUUAAGCAAAAGGAGCUGAAUCUAACAGUACAGAGUUCAAAUAGAAUGUUGAUGAGAGAGAAGGCAUCAGAUUGUUUUUGUUGACCUGCAUGGUUAAAAUGUUUUAGAUUAGUUAAGGAAAGGAGUAGAAGACUUCAGUGGGUUGAGAAGAGAAUGGAACGUGAGCAAGCAGAGAAUGUGACUGUAGAAAGCUCAAGAAUCCUGGCAACAAUGGAAAGGAAAUAGGUGGGAUUGAGAAUUAGCAAGGUUGUGGGGUUGAUGCUUAUAUAUGUUUAUAUGUAUUUUUAGACAGAAGUGAUUUGUGUGUGGCUAUGGGUAAAGAUAAAUCUACUUGAGAGAGGGAGAUAAAUGUAGAAGGGAGAUGACUCAGAAAAUGAGGAACAGCAUUGGAUGAAAUUAGGAACCAGAGAGGAAAAGCCCUGGGCUGAAGAAUGAGCGUCUCUUCCUCUAAGGCAGAAAGGGACAUGCUUUGUGAGUGGAUCAUGCACUGUCUGGAAAUGACAGGCCAAGAGAUUUUGAUGCUCAUAGAUACCACUGUCAUGACAGGCAUGGGAGUUCAUGAGACAGGUGGACCAGAAUCACAGGCUCAGAUCCAGAUUUCCAGGAGCCAGAACAGAAUAUGGGAACUGAUAACACUGACAAGGAAGAGAUAGGAAAUGUUACUUCUUAUUUUUGGAUCUAGAAACAGUGUCAUGUGACCUAGUAGGGGGAAAGGCUAGGUAUGGAAGGGAGGUAAUGUACUGUGUUGUGAUCAAGAACUUGGGACUUGGAGGACAGAGGACAGUGAAUUCCUAUCUCCUCUCAGGCACUUAUUAAGUGUGUGAACUUAUGUAAGGCACUUAACCACUUCCUGCUUGAGUUUUUUCACAUGUAAAUAGAAGGCAAUGGUAAUAACUGCACAAGACUAUUAUAAG